GCAGUUCUCAGACGUGCUUCUAGAAGACCUAUUGAUCCAUUACAUAUAUUCUGUAUUCCAUACCCAUAUUCUAUAAAAUUGAGAACAAGAACUGCUUCUGAUUCUAUGAUUACAAAAAAAAAAAAAAAAGUGAAAGCUUAACAUAAUGUACACCGAUAUACUGCUGUUCUGACAGAAAUGUUUAUGUUUAAAAAAACACCAAACCUUCCGGUGUUAUACCUUAAAGAAAUGGUGAAGAGCAUUUAUUUUAGCCUUUAAUUUUCAACAGCUUUGCUGGAAUCUUCUUUCUGUUCUUAUGAAAUGAAACAGUCCCCUCUGAAAGAGUGUGCUGUUUGAGGACACCUUCUCCCUCAAAACGUUCAUUUCCUAUAGCAGUGGGUGUGCUCAUUCCUGAGAAGAAAUGGGGUGAUGUGCAGUUCUUUGCUGUUUGGUUUGAUUGCAGUAGUGCAGAUUUAAAGUCAAGACACCUCGUCUCCUGUAACAUCAAUACUUACAGGUGGAGAAUAUCAUUCUGCUGCAGAGCAAAGGAAAAGGAUGAAAACAUCUUUUUCAGUCAUCCAUGAAUAUUAAUCUCUGCAAUAUAAUUCUCAGGGUCUGCCUGCAUUAAUUUAUGGCACUCCAGUGAAUAGUUUUGCCAUUUUUUUCCAGCUGUUCUGACAUGGAUGUGGCUGUUCAAAGGGCAGAAGCCUGGGAAUAUGCAGAAGGUGCUGUGAUUUUUAUUUUUACUUUUUCCUUCAAGUGAACUGAUCAUCCUGUGGCCUUGAAAAAUCUUUAAAAGGCUUUUGGAAAUGUGACAUGCCUCCAAAGUACUGUUCCUAUCCUUCAGCUACAGAAGGUAUGCUCAGAGUGGGCACAGCCUGGCACCAGUAGCAGGAAUAGAGAGAACAGAGGAACAGGAGGGCAAAGCGCAUGGAGGCAAAGCAGAUGAAGAGAUUUGGAUCAGCAGAAGGCUUCUGGGCAGCCCCAUAAGUAACAUGGAUAAUAAAAAAUGAGGAUGCUCUGCAACCCCAAAUGGUGGGAAUGGUGGUCACUCCUCUUGAUGCAUUUCCCUCAUCUUUAGUCUGCCCAGUUUUUCAACUGACAUGACUCCCUGAAGGCAGCAUAAGGCUCAUCCUUUGAGGUCUCUCAUGCAGCAGGAAAUAAGCUGCAGAAAGAAUAUUGAGGAGACCUGAUGAGGAGCAGCUCCUGAUACCCCAUACAUAUUUUUCUACUCAUUUGAAAAAUAUUACUCAUUAAGAGGCCUCAAAAUAUUCUAAACACCCAGGACUGUGGUGACACAGCUCUUGCUGUGCCAUCCAACAUUCAAGAUUGCAGGGAAGAACUGAGACUGCCCAUGGAGAUUUUCUGCCCUUUCCUCCCUGUGAGGUGACUGGAGAGAAGCAGCACUGAGGCUGCCUGGUGGGAUGUCCUGCUUUCUCUUUGUUGACUCCUUUGCAAGGAGGAGCAGCAUCAUGUGAAGUACCAACUCAGUCAUUCUGUCUUGAAUGCGCAUCCCAGCACAGAUGUGCAACACAAACCAUAGGGCCUGUAAUACAGUAUUGGUAUAUAGGCAUCUUAAAUUAUGUUGUCAGCUUUUGAGGAAUGCAAAGAUGUUGCAUUAACUGAAGAUGUUAACCCAGAAGUGUGCCCCUUCCCCUUCACCAUUCCCACCCCCCAGAUUAGCUGAGCUGAGGCAUCUGAAACUCCAAGUUUUACCUUCCAUUUGCCAACACUGCCCAACAAUUUAAGGGCAGACAAUUCUUGGCUGUUAUAACCUGAUUCUCUAAGUCAUCAUCACUACUGUAAAGGAAAAAAGAAAACCCAAACAAAAUUAACAAAACCCCAACAAAACCCUAUUUUCCCAGUCCAUUAGUGUUUCUUACCCAAGGCAGCAAAUGUUGUUUUGUAAUAAUGCUCUGGGAAGGACAUUAUUGCAUACUAAGGGCAAAGUCUGGUGUAUUCAAAGGCUUGCUUAAGUGACAGGAAAAAGACCAUAAUGAACAACUGCGUAUCAAGGCUCCAGGGAGAUUAAUCUGGAUGUGUGCCCAAGGCACAGUAGCAAAAUCAGUGUACGUGUUUAAGCUAAUGAUCUGGAAGAGAAAACAUAAGGUGCUUUGGCAUGGUUUCUGUUGACAUCAGGAACCUGGCUUUGUAAGGUCCUGAUCGAGGGGGAAAGGAGAGGAAAAGCAACAUCUGCUUAUCUCCUGUGAAACCAGAAUGCCUUUCAGCCAUUGAGUAAACUUGCUGAUUUCAGUGAACCUCUGACGUGCUAGAAGCAAGCCAGCCCUGUACCUCCAGUGCUUUGCUGAAUCAGGAGUUGAGUGCAUGAUCUCUGUCACUCACUGGGGGAAAAAGACCAUUUCAACCUCUGGCACCCUCUGGACUGCAGCAGCUUGGCUGGAACUGAUGGCCUGUGAGCA